rnacentral:rRNA from 1 species
GAUGAACGCUGGCGGCGUGCCUAAUACAUGCAAGUCGAGCGAACAGACGAGGAGCUUGCUCCUCUGACGUUAGCGGCGGACGGGUGAGUAACACGUGGAUAACCUACCUAUAAGACUGGGAUAACUUCGGGAAACCGGAGCUAAUACCGGAUAACAUGUUGAACCGCAUGGUUCAACAGUGAAAGACGGUCUUGCUGUCACUUAUAGAUGGAUCCGCGCCGCAUUAGCUAGUUGGUAAGGUAACGGCUUACAAAGGCAACGAUGCGUAGCCGACCUGAGAGGGUGAUCGGCCACACUGGAACUGAGACACGGUCCAGACUCCUACGGGAGGCAGCAGUAGGGAAUCUUCCGCAAUGGGCGAAAGCCUGACGGAGCAACGCCGCGUGAGUGAAGAAGGUCUUCGGAUCGUAAAACUCUGUUAUUAGGGAAGAACAAAUGUGUAAGUAACUAUGCACGUCUUGACGGUACCUAAUCAGAAAGCCACGGCUAACUACGUG